CUCUCGAAAUAUUUUAAGCUAAGUUGGCAGAUCGGAGGACUGUAGAUGUUUUAACGGUGAUCCUUGGGUCGCUGGUUCAAAUCCGGCUCGAGAGA